rnacentral:rRNA from 1 species
CCUACGGGGUGCUGCAGUGGGGAAUAUUGGACAAUGGGCGAAAGCCUGAUCCAGCCAUGCCGCGUGUGUGAAGAAGGCCUUCGGGUUGUAAAGCACUUUCAGUGGGGAAGAAAGCCUUGGGGCUAAUACCCUCGAGGAAGGACAUCACCCACAGAAGAAGCACCGGCUAACUCCGUGCCAGCAGCCGCGGUAAUACGGAGGGUGCGAGCGUUAAUCGGAAUUACUGGUCGUAAAGCGCGCGUAGGCGGUCUGAUAAGCCGGUUGUGAAAGCCCCGGGCUCAACCUGGGAACGGCAUCCGGAACUGUCAGGCUAGAGUGCAGGAGAGGAAGGUAGAAUUCCCGGUGUAGCGGUGAAAUGCGUAGAGAUCGGGAGGAAUACCAGUGGCGAAGGCGGCCUUCUGGACUGACACUGACGCUGAGGUGCGAAAGCGUGGGUAGCAAACAGGAUUAGAUACCCGAGUAGUC